rnacentral:rRNA from 1 species
UGCAAGUCGAGGGAGAAAGUUCUCCGACUUCGGUCGGAGGGCUGGAAACCGGCGCACGGGUGCGUAACACGUAGGCAACCUACCCUUUGGACGGGGAUAACUUCGGGAAACCGGGGCUAAUACCCGAUGAUGUUCCGAUGCGGCAUCGCAUCGAAAUUAAAUUCCCGACUUUGUCGGGAGCCAGAGGAUGGGCCUGCGGCCCAUUAGCUGGUUGGCGGGGUAACGGCCCACCAAGGCAACGAUGGGUAGCUGGUCUGAGAGGAUGACCAGCCACACUGGAACUGAGACACGGUCCAGACUCCUACGGGAGGCAGCAGUGAGGAAUAUUGCGCAAUGCCCGAAAGGGUGACGCAGCGACGCCGCGUGGAGGAUGAAGUCCGUAAGGAUGUAAACUCCUGUUGGGAGGGAAGAACAGUCCCGACUUGUCGGGAUUUGACGGUACCUCUCGAGGAAGGCCCGGCUAACUACGUGCCAGCAGCCGCGGUAAUACGUAGGGGCCAAGCGUUGUCCGGAUUUACUGGGUGUAAAGGGUCCGCAGGCGGGCCUGUAAGUCGAUGGUGAAAUCUUUCCGCUCAACGGGAAAAUUGCUGUCGAUACUGCAGGCCUUGAGUCCGGGAGAGGGUGGUGGAAUUCAUGGUGUAGCGGUGAAAUGCGUAGAUAUCAUGAAGAACACCGGUGGCGAAGGCGGCCACCUGGCCCGAGACUGACGCUCAGGGACGAAAGCGUGGGUAGCAAACAGGAUUAGAUACCCUGGUAGUCCACGCUGUAAACGAUGGGUACUAGGUGUUGGGUCGCAAGACUCGGUGCCAAAGCUAACGCAUUAAGUAUCCCACCUGGGGAGUACGAUCGCAAGGUUGAAACUCAAAGGAAUUGACGGGGGCCCGCACAAGCAGUGGAGCAUGUGGUUUAAUUC